AUUGAACGCUGGCGGCAGGCCUAACACAUGCAAGUCGAACGAGUGGAGGACGGGUGAGUAAUGUCUGGGAAACUGCCUGAUGGAGGGGGAUAACUACUGGAAACGGUAGCUAAUACCGCAUACCAUCGGAUGUGCCAAGAUGGGAUUAGCUAGUAGGUGGGGUAAAGGCUCACCUAGGAGACGAUCCCUAGCUGGUCUGAGAGGAUGACCCGCCACACUGGAACUUAGCCACGGUCCGGCCUCCUCCGGGAGUCACCGUUGGGUAAUAUUUCACAAUUGGCGCAAGCCGGAUGCAGCCAUGCCGCGUGGAUGAAGUGGGCCUGCGAGUUGUAAAGUUCUUUCAGCGGGGAGGCGUUACCCGCAGAGAAAGCACCGGCUAACUCCGUGCCAGCAGCCGCGGUAAUUC
rnacentral:rRNA from 1 species